rnacentral:rRNA from 1 species
UCUUCCCUCUUUCUUCGUGCCUAAUACAUGCAAGUCGAGCGAACGGACGAGAAGCUUGCUUCUCUGAUGUUAGCGGCGGACGGGUGAGUAACACGUGGAUAACCUACCUAUAAGACUGGGAUAACUUCGGGAAACCGGAGCUAAUACCGGAUGAUAUUUUGAACCGCAUGGUUCAAAAGUGAAAGACGGUCUUGCUGUCGCUUAUAGAUGGAUCCGCGCUGCAUUAGCUAGUUGGUAAGGUAACGGCUUACCAAGGCAACGAUGCAUAGCCGACCUGAGAGGGUGAUCGGCCACACUGGAACUGAGACACGGUCCAGACUCCUACGGGAGGCAGCAGUAGGGAAUCUUCCGCAAUGGGCGAAAGCCUGACGGAGCAACGCCGCGUGAGUGAUGAAGGUCUUCUGAUCGUAAAACUCUGUUAUUAGGGAAGAACAUAUGUGUAAGUAACUGUGCACAUCUUGACGGUACCUAAUCAGAAAGCCACGGCUAACUACGUG